ACUCGUUGGACCCGGGGGCAGUACCCGGCGCCUCCACCAAAAUAUAAGAAAAAAUUAUAUUUUGGUGGGGGCGAAAUAGGAUCGACAAGAGCGUAAAGAUUGCUCUUUUACUCGGCAUAGUACCACCGUUAUCGGACUAAAUGAGUAGUUGCAAAUGACAACUAUGCGGAAGCACGUCUCGCCGCUUAAGGUGGUGUGAAUGUUUCAAAUUAAGUCUUAAACCGUCGCAGGUUUAAGCGGGGUUUGAAGG
rnacentral:tmRNA from 1 species